rnacentral:rRNA from 1 species
GACGAACGCUGGCGGCGUGCCUAAUACAUGCAAGUAGAACGCUGAAGAGAGGAGCUUGCUCUUCUUGGAUGAGUUGCGAACGGGUGAGUAACGCGUAGGUAACCUGCCUUGUAGCGGGGGAUAACUAUUGGAAACGAUAGCUAAUACCGCAUAACAAUGGAUGACACAUGUCAUUUAUUUGAAAGGGGCAAUUGCUCCACUACAAGAUGGACCUGCGUUGUAUUAGCUAGUAGGUGAGGUAAUGGCUCACCUAGGCGACGAUACAUAGCCGACCUGAGAGGGUGAUCGGCCACACUGGGACUGAGACACGGCCCAGACUCCUACGGGAGGCAGCAGUAGGGAAUCUUCGGCAAUGGGGGCAACCCUGACCGAGCAACGCCGCGUGAGUGAAGAAGGUUUUCGGAUCGUAAAGCUCUGUUGUAAGUCAAGAACGGGUGUGAGAGUAGAAAGUUCACACUGUGACGGUAGCUUACCAGAAAGGGACGGCUAACUACGUG